AGAAAGUCAAGAUAGAUGUAUAAGAACAUUUAGUUAUGAGUUAUUUUACUAAAAGCUUUUCUUUAAUGUUUUAUUGAAUAAAUAUGGUCAUUAAAGAUAUGAUAAGCAUGGCAGGUUGUACGUUUGCGAGAAACAAGAUGCACAUUUUGACGUUGGCAAUAUCUAGUAAGCUAAAUAGGUUAAGAAAUAAAACUACUAUAGAAACUAUUAG
rnacentral:misc_RNA from 1 species